AGUAAUGUAUGGGGAUCUGCCUGAUGGCGGGGGAUAACUACUGGAAAUGGUAGCUAAUACCGCAUAAUGUCUGCGGACCAAAGCGGGGGACCUCCGGGCCUCGCGCCAUCAGAUGAACCCAUAUGGGAUUAGCUUGUAGGUAAGGUAACGGCUUACCUAGGCGACGAUCCCUAGCUAGUCUGAGAGGAUGAUCAGCCACACUGGGACUGAGACACGGCCCAG
rnacentral:rRNA from 1 species